AGCCUCCAAUUCCCUUACCAUUCAGACCUGAGCACUGGUCUGAGAGGUUAGAAAACGGAGAAAGAGUGCGUUAGAAAUGUACUCCCGGCUUUGUAGCACACAGGCUAGUUUCAAACAGUU
rnacentral:snoRNA from 1 species